CCUUUUUAAAACGUUUUAGUUAAUUUUUAAAAAAUUAUAUUAGUUUAAUGUGUUUAAUUAGAUUAAUCAAGAGUUAUUUUGGGAUUAUGAAAAAGAUUAUACUAAGGGGACAACUAAAUGAUGAUUUUAUAUUAUAAGGACAACCAUGCUGAAUUUUGGUUCUAUUUUGGUAAUUUUUCCUUUAUUUAUUCCACAAAGGUCUGCCGAAUCUCCUUUUCCCGCAGAUUCGUAUCUUCCUUUUCUUUCCAUUUGCCUUAGUUUUUGGGAUUCAAGUUUAUCCUUCUCGGAAAUAUUCUAUUUUUCUUGUACUCUCUCAUUAUCCUCUACAAGUAAGGAUGAACCGCCAUAUUAUCAAUGGCUGCUUCAUGUCCUAAGUUGUAAGUGGGUUUUAUCGUAUUUUAGUCCGUUUCAGAUUGUGUUUACAACUUAUGCAUAUUCUAUGAAAUUUCUCUAAAAGAUCAUCAACUCGAUUGUGAUUGUAGUUUUUUGUACUGUUGGUCUAUGAAAUGAUAAAAACAAUUUUCUUUGUUGAAAAAAAUCUGAUGUUCAAAUUAACCAUUACCGACUUGUGGCUAAAUUUUACGAGAAGAUGUGUUUCUACGUAAAUCUCAACAACAACUUUGUUUGCGAUGAAACGAAGAAUGUAUCAGACAUAAUUCACCUGAGAACGUGAUGAAUAGAUCUCAUGGCCGAUGUUGUGAGGUGAUGAGAACGAGAGAGGUUUAUGAGUGAUGAGUUUUGGCGAUGAGGACAUGGAGAGGAGCUGAGGGCGAUAACCUGAGGCGAUGAGGGGGGGGAGAGAGAGAGAGAGAGAGAGAGAGAGAGAGAGAGAGAGAGAGAGAGAGAGAGAGAGAGAGAGAGAGAGAGAGAGACUCAUAGGCGAUUAUAAUGGCUCAUGAGGGAGAGACAAAGCCCCAUGUGCGAUGAACAUAGCUGAUGCGGAAGAGAGAGAGCCUCAUAGGCGAUUAUAAUGACUCAUGAGGGAGAGACAAAGCCUCAUGGGUGAUGACGGAGAGAGAAAGCCUCAUGGGAGAUGGGUGUGGCUAAUGAGGGAGAGAAAAAAGCCUCAUGGGUGAUGAGCAUGGCUGAUGAGGGAGAGAGAGAGAGAGAGCCUCACGGGCGAUGAGCAUGGAAGAUGAGCUCAGACUGGAAAUGAUAUUUGGCGAUGAGGAGAGAGGAAAGGUUCACGAGAGAUGUGCUUUGGAGAUGAAGAAAGAGAGUGAGGCUAGUGGCUGUAUGGUCCGGCGAUGAGGAGAGAAGAGUGAGUCACAGGUGAUGAGGAAAGAAGAGUGAGUCACAGGUGUCAGUUUGCUAUGGUUAUGUCGAUGCAAGUUGCAACCUCAUUGGGAAACUCGUCUGUUUCAUAAAUGUUUGUCGGUGUGGAUGUGCUUUCUCAUAGAGUAAUAUUGACUUUCUUUUUGGGUGCCAGUAGAGGCGAAUUUGGUGAGUCUUCUUCGACUUCUCAUGUCCUUUUGUGGGAAGCGAGUUUCACCUUCAUAAUGUUUUAAGUGUGACUUUGGUUUCUAAUUUUUUAAGACGUCUCCAUUCCCUUCCUCUUUGUUAUUUUUAUUUCUUAGUACAGCUUGGCAUUCUUCCAUGGAAUGUCCUUUAUGGUUGUGGAAAGUGCAGAAUUUGCUGGCACCAAAGGUGGACUGUUUUCUUUGGUUCAGGUUGCUGACUGCGAAUGGGUAUUAUCCUUGGGUUUUGGGCACCUUUGGUUUCAGUAUUUGUUUUUUCUAGACUAGGAUUGGUUUUGUGCGUGUUAUAUUGUUCUUUCAGAGCAUCGUCCUCUUCUUCGUGAUCAGAAAAAUGCGAGGGUCGAUGGAGUAUGUCGUCGAGCAACAUAGACUCCUCAUAGGUCCUAGAAGUUACCUAUUUUAGACCAGAUAUUAGGCCAUAUCUAGAAUCUUUAUUAUGUACUCCGAGUCUGUUUUAGGUUGUUACAGGUCUAGGUGCGUUUUGGAGCACUUUUGGAGAUUAUGGAGCAAAUGAAGCUUGAAGAGAAGAAAACCCGUAGCUGUGCAGAAAGGAGAGUCGAGAUACUAUGUGAGCAUCGACCGACGCUGCCAUGGCUUGGAUCGACGCUAAUGCGAAAUGGCAAGUCGGACAAAGACUUUCAAGAAUUGCACUUUUGCCCAGAAGUUUCUUAAAUUGCGAAGAAACUCCUGGAUGUGUUAAACCUAUUUAUAUCUAUUUUAUAGACACUAUUUAGGCUAAUAUUUAUCUUAUUCUUAGAGAGGUUUUGGAAAAAUUAGAUUAGAACUCUUUCAGAGAUUGAUUGGAACUCCAAUAUUACUUACCUUUCACCUUUAUGCAAUUAUUUCAGAUUAUGAUUUGUGUUCUU